AUGUGAUCGUCUCUCGCAUAUCAAUAAGCGGAGGAAAAGAAACUAACAAGGAUUCCCCUAGUAACGGCGAGUGAAGCGGGAAGAGCUCAAAUUUGAAAUCUUAAAGGGUUUCCCUUUACGAAUUGUAGUUUAAAGAAGUGUUUUCUGUUGAGGUUUUGGUAAAAGUUCUUUGGAAUAGGACAUCAUAGAGGGUGAGAAUCCCGUAUUUGACCUUUACUUUCAACUUUGUGAUACACUUUCAAAGAGUCGGAUUGUUUGGGAAUGCAGUCCAAAAUGGGUGGUAAAUUUCAUCUAAAGCUAAAUAUUGGCGAGAGACCGAUAGCGAACAAGUACCGUGAGGGAAAGAUGAAAAGAACUUUGAAAAGAGAGUUAAACAGUACGUGAAAUUGUCAAAAGGGAAGCGUUUGACACCAGUGUUGUUUUUCUGAAAAUCAAUUAAAGAACUGUUUAUGCUAAGCUGUUUAGACUUUAUCAGCUAUCUGUUUAGUUUUGAGCUUUUCUUUAAUGCACUUUUCAGUUAACAAGUCAACAUCAAUUUCUUUUGCUGUAAAAAAGCUUGAGGAAGGUGGCUUGAGAUUCGUCUUAAGUGUUUAUAGCCUCUUGCCUAUGCAGUCGGAGAGAUUGAGGUCUGCAGCGUAGAUCCUUCGGGGCUAAAUGCAUUUGUGCUAAGUUAUAGCAUUUUAUAGACAACUUGUUGACUAUGAUUUGUCUUGUAGCUUACUCGCUUACGUUAUUUUACCUACGCUUAGGAUGUUGAGUAGCGACAUACGCAC
rnacentral:rRNA from 1 species